AACAUCGCCUCUUGCAAAUUUUAAUAUAAGAGGUCCCGCCUGCCCUGUGACUCUAAGUUUAACGGCCGCGGUAUUUUGACCGUGCGAAGGUAGCGUAAUCACUUGUCUUUUAAAUGAAGACCCGUAUGAAUGGCACAACGAGGGCUUGACUGUCUCCUUCUCUUCGUCAAUGAAAUUGAUCUUCCCGUGCAGAAGCGGGAAUAUAAACAUAAGACGAGAAGACCCUAUGGAGCUUUAGACAAAAGGCAGACUACGUUAAAACCCCAAUAUAACAGGACUAAACACAGUACCCCCUAGCCAACAUGUCUUUGGUUGGGGCGACCGCGGGGGAAAACCAAGCCCCCAUGUGGACUGGGGAAACCUUUCCCACAGCCAAGAGCUACAACUCUAAGCAACAGAAUUUCUGACCAAUAUGAUCCGGCAAAUGCCGAUCAACGGACCAAGUUACCCUAGGGAUAACAGCGCAAUCCCCUCCCAGAGUCCCUAUCGACAAGGGGGUUUACGACCUCGAUGUUGGAUCAGG
rnacentral:rRNA from 1 species